CCUACGGGAGGCAGCAGUGGGGGAUAUUGCACAAUGGGGGAAACCCUGAUGCAGCAACGCCGCGUGAGUGAAGAAGUAUUUCGGUAUGUAAAGCUCUAUCAGCAGGGAAGAGAAUGACGGUACCUGACUAAGAAGCCCCGGCUAACUACGUGCCAGCAGCCGCGGUAAUACGUAGGGGGCGAGCGUUCUCCGGAUGUUCGGGGUGUAAAGGGAGCGUCGCCGGCUGGUCAAGUCUGAAGUGAAAGGCCGGGGGUUAACCCCGGAACGGCUUUGGAAACUGGGCAGCUAGAGUGCUGGAGGGGUAAGCGGAAUGCGUAGUGUAGCGGGGAGAUGCGUAGAGAUUAGGGGGAACACCAGUGGCGAAGGCGGCUUACUGGACAGUAACUGACGUUGAGGCUCGAAAGCGUGGGGAGCAAACAGGAUUAGAGACCCGUGUAGUC
rnacentral:rRNA from 1 species